rnacentral:rRNA from 1 species
UGGGGAAUUUUGGACAAUGGGGGCAACCCUGAUCCAGCCAUGCCGCGUGAGUGAAGAAGGCCUUCGGGUUGUAAAGCUCUUUAGCCCGAGAGGAAAUCUUAAUGGUUAAUACCCAUUAAGGAUGACAGUAUCGGGAGAAUAAGCACCGGCUAACUACGUGCCAGCAGCCGCGGUAAUACGUAGGGUGCAAGCGUUAAUCGGAAUCAUUGGGCGUAAAGAGUGCGUAGGUGGUUGUGUAAGCUUGAUGUGAAAUCCUUGGGCUCAACCUAAGAAUGGCAUAAAGGACUGCAUGACUUGAGUGCGACAGAGGGGGGUGGAAUUCCACGUGUAGCAGUGAAAUGCGUAGAGAUGUGGAGGAACACCGAUGGCGAAGGCAGCCCCCUGGGUUGACACUGACACUGAGGUACGAAAGCGUGGGUAGCGAACAGG